GAACGGGUGAGUAACACGUGGGCAAUCUGCCCUUCACUCUGGGACAAGCCCUGGAAACGGGGUCUAAUACCGGAUAACACCUGCCCGGGCAUCUGGGUGGGUUAAAAGCUCCGGCGGUGAAGGAUGAGCCCGCGGCCUAUCAGCUUGUUGGUGAGGUAGUGGCUCACCAAGGCGACGACGGGUAGCCGGCCUGAGAGGGCGACCGGCCACACUGGGACUGAGACACGGCCCAGACUCCUACGGGAGGCAGCAGUGGGGAAUAUUGCACAAUGGGCGAAAGCCUGAUGCAGCGACGCCGCGUGAGGGAUGACGGCCUUCGGGUUGUAAACCUCUUUCAGCAGGGAAGAAGCGAAAGUGACGGUACCUGCAGAAGAAGCGCCGGCUAACUACGUGCCAGCAGCCGCGGUAAUACGUAGGGCGCAAGCGUUGUCCGGAAUUAUUGGGCGUAAAGAGCUCGUAGGCGGCUUGUCACGUCGGGUGUGAAAGCCCGGGGCUUAACCCCGGGUCUGCAUUCGAUACGGGCUAGCUAGAGUGUGGUAGGGGAGAUCGGAAUUCCUGGUGUAGCGGUGAAAUGCNCAGAUAUCAGGAGGAACACCGGUGGCGAAGGCGGAUCUCUGGGCCAUUACUGACGCUGAGGAGCGAA
rnacentral:rRNA from 1 species